GUAAUCACAGAACUCAGAUGGCAGAGGCA
rnacentral:piRNA from 1 species